rnacentral:rRNA from 1 species
AUUUAAUAGAAUUAAUUUUUAAUAUAGUCUGCUCAAUGACUAUUAAAUAGCCGCAGUUCAAACUGCGCCAAGGUAGCAUAAUCAUUUGUCUUUUAAUUAAAGACUAGAAUGAAAGACAUUACACUUCAAUAAAAUUUUAAUCUAAAUCUUUAAAUUUAUUUUAAAUGUUAAAAAACAUUUCUUUUUAAGAAAGACGAUAAGACCCUAUCGAACUUAACUUUAGUUAAACUGGGGUAGUUAAUUAAUUAAUAUUUUAAUAUUUAAUUUUUUAAAAAUGACCUGAUUAAAUCAAUUUAAUAAUCAAGUUACCAUAGGGAUAACAGCGUAAUAUAAUUUAAUAGAUCUUAUACAAAAUUAUGAUUACGACCUCGAUGUUGAAUAAUAUAUCUAUUAUAUGCAAUAAUAUAAAAAGAAAGUCUGUUCGACUUUUAAAUCAUUACA